rnacentral:rRNA from 1 species
CUAGGAUUAGAUACCCUAUUAUUUUAAAUAAAAUUAAAGAUAUUAGAGAUUAAAUGUAAAAACAUUAAAUUUAGAUAGUUUGGCGGUAUUUUAUAAAAUUAGAGGAAUCUGUUAAAUAAAUGAUAUUCCACGAUAGGACGGUCUUAACAUAGUUUUAUGUAUUGUUGUUUGUAUAUUAAUUUAGGAGAAUUUUAAUAGGAAUUUAAUAUUUUAGAGGAAUUCAAAUCAAAAUGUAGAGUUGUUAAGUUUAAAUGGAUUACAAUUUAAUUUAAUAUUUAAAUUUUAAUUUUUAAUAGUUAAAUGAAAGAGGAUUUAAUAGUAAGAUUAAAUAAUAAUUUAAUUUGAAGAUUAGGUAAAGUAUGUACAAAUUGCCCGGUCAUUUU